CCCCCGCCUUUCUUCCCUCCGCGACCCGGGCCGUGCGUCCGUCCCCCUGCCUCUGCCUGGCGGUCCCUCCUCCCCUCUCCUUGCACCCGUACCUCUUUGUACCGCACCCCCUGGGGACCCCUGCGCCCCUCCCCUCCCCCCUGACCGCAUGGACCGUCCCGCAGGCCGCUGAUGCCGCCCGCGGCGAGGUGGCCCGGACCGCAGUGCCCCAAGAGAGCUCUAAUGGUACCAAGUGACAGAUUGGCUUUACUGUGACUCGGGGACGCCAGAGCUCCUGAGAAGAUGUCAGCAAUACAGGUACCACAGGGGUGAGGGUCUGGCACAUGCAAGCAUUCCCACCAGCCCCAGCGGGGUGCUUAGCAGAGGAGAGAGGAUGCAGCUCAGAUCAACCCACUCCCCUGUUUCCCAGCACUCAGUCAGGUACAGGCCUGGGGAAGUGGGGGAGUCUCAACAGGAAGGGACCCAGGGCUCGUUCUCCGGGCAGAGCACCUCACCCAGGCUCACAGAGGCCAGCUCAGAGGCUGUGACCACGAGGGUGCGCCAGCAGGUGGCUGGAGGGGGCCCAGGCUGCACCCGCCCACGUGUCACCUGCCUUGCAGGCCGCCUGGCCAUCCGGUACAGAAUGUAUUGCCAAGUACAACUUCCACGGCACUGCCGAGCAGGACCUGCCCUUCUGCAAAGGAGACGUGCUCACCAUUGUGGCCGUCACCAAGGUAAUCAGGUGACGCCCACCCCACCAUCCCACUGCUGGGCCUUCCCUCUGCAGGGGGAGGUGGGCCUGAGAGCAUGUCUGGGCUGCCCUCUCCCCAGGACCCCAACUGGUACAAAGCCAAAAACAAGGUGGGCCGUGAGGGCAUCAUCCCAGCCAACUACGUCCAGAAGCGGGAGGGCGUGAAGGCGGGUACCAAACUCAGCCUCAUGCCGUGAGUACCACGAGGAGGGGUUGGGGAGGGAAGGGGCCUUGGUCCUCCUGAAGGAGCAUCAGGAACAAGCAGGGAGGCCAGAGUGAGGGGCUUGGGUGUUGGGGAGGGCCUCA
rnacentral:sRNA from 1 species